ensembl:lncRNA
AAGCAAACCCGAAAACCGGAAACCGCAGCCGCCGUUGAGGUCACAGUCCACUGCUGUGGGGUGACGCUGACAGGAACAGGAAGGAACAGAAGGGCUGUGUCCUGCAGCCUCCCUCUAGUGCCCCCUAUUGGCAGAGCCCAACAGGGCGGCUGCGAGCAGAAGGGAGGGCUGGGAGUUCUACGAAGUUCCCACCGUGACAGAGCAGAGCAGAUGGCGUGGAUGGGAGCUUAAUAACUGGCCUGAGGGAGAAGGGGGACGAGAGGGGAGACUGGGAGCAGGAUCGUGAGGUGCGGACUGUGGGAGGGGAGGGGAGAGUUCUCCCACGGUCACCUCUUCUGGAGUGAGGAAGGCCCAGAGAGAAAACACCCUCAAGACAUAGGGCAGCGCGCCAACCCUUCUCCUUCCGCUUCACACCCUGCACUUGGUGACACACCACACACAUAGAUGCAUCACACACACACCAUGCACACAGACCACAUACACCCACACACACCACACCACAUACACGCACACACACCACACACCACAUUCACGCACACACCACACACCACAUUCACGCACACACCACACACCACAUACACGCACACACACCCCACAUACACACACACACACCACAUACCACAUACACGCACACACAUCACAUUCACGCACACACACCACAUACACGCACACAUGCACACACACCACAUACACCACACACCACAUACACGCACACACCACACACCACAUACACGCACACACACACCACAUACACACACAAACCACAUACACGCACACACACACACACCACAUACACACACACCACAUACACGCACACACGCGCACACAUACCACAUAUACAUCCACACACACCACACACCACAUACACGCACACACACACCACAUACACACACACCACAUACACGCACACACGCGCACACAUACCACAUAUACAUCCACACACACCACACACCACAUACACGCACACACACACUACAUACACGUGCACACACACCACAUACACGCACACACACACCACAUACACACACACCACAUACACACACAAACACACACCACAUACACGCACACACACCACACAUCACAUACAUGCACACACCACACACCACAUACACGCACACACACCACACACCACAAACACACAACACCACAUACACGCACACACCACACACACACCACACACCACAUACACACACACACCACACACCACAUACACACACACAAACCACAUACACGCACACACACAAAAUACAUACACGCACACACACCACACACCACAUACAUGCACACACCACACACCACAUACACGCACACACACCACAUACACGCACACACGUGCACACACACCACACUUACAUCCACACACACCACACACCACAUACACACACACACAAACCACAUGCACGCACACACACACACCACACACACACACCACACACCACAUACACACACACACCACACACCACAUACACGCACACGCACACACCACAUACAUGCACACACACCACACACACCACAUACACGCACACACACCACUGCACACACACCACACUUACAUCCACACACACCACACACCACAUACACACACACACAAACCACAUGCACGCACACACACACACCACACACACACACCACACACCACAUACACACACACACCACACACCACAUACACGCACACGCACACACCACAUACAUGCACACACACCACACACACCACAUACACGCACACACACCACACACACCACAUACACGCACACACACCACACACACCACAUGCACACACACACAAACCACAUACAUACACACACACCACACACCACAUACACGCACACACACACAAACCACAUACACACACACACCACACACACCACAUACACACACACACCACAUACACGCACACACACCACACACACCACAUACACACACACACCACAUACACGCACACACACCAUGAUCACCACAUGCACACACACACAAACCACAUACAUACACACACACCACACACCACAUACACGCACACACGCUCACAGACACCACACAUACACGCACACACACCACACACCACAUACACACACACCACAUACACGCACACACACACACCACAUACACUCAUACACACCACACACCACAUACACACACACACGCACACACACGCGCACACACACACACCACAUACACGCGCACACACACACACACACACACCAUGCUCUUGUUCAUGAGGUUCUUUAGCUCAG